GAGGAACAAAACAGAAAUAGAUGGAAAUGUGGGAACAAAAUUAUAUUCUACACAAAAAAAAAAUAAGACUAUUUUAGCGAAACAAUACAGCAUCCUACAUAAAAAAAAAUCAGUUAAUACUAUUAGUGGUACAAAAAGACAUCCUACAUGAAAAACAAGUAGCACUAUUUAGUGAUACAAAACUACAUAUUACGUAAAAUAAAAGUAACUCUAUAUAAGUGAACAAAACUACCUACGUAAAAGCAAAUAACAGUAGGUACAUGUAUGCUAACAUUGUGUGUUACAAAGUUUUAACAAUUCAAAGAAACCAAGAUAACAGAUGAUCAUAAAAGAAAGAUGUAAUCAGAAGCAGACACAUAGCUAGAGCUGUUUACCGUCCAAACGCUGCAUCACGUUUGGUCGCUGUGGUACACAUAUUUCACGAACCAUCUAAAAACAAA
rnacentral:lncRNA from 1 species